rnacentral:rRNA from 1 species
GACGAACGCUGGCGGCGUGCUUAACACAUGCAAGUCGAGCGGUAAGGCCCUUUCGGGGGUACACGAGCGGCGAACGGGUGAGUAACACGUGGGUGACCUGCCCUUAGCUCUGGGAUAAGCCUGGGAAACUGGGUCUAAUACCGGAUAUGACUCCAUGACGCAUGUUGUGGGGUGGAAAGCCUUGUGCGGCUAGGGAUGGGCCCGCGGCCUAUCAGCUUGUUGGUGGGGUGAUGGCCACCAAGGCGACGACGGGUAGCCGGCCUGAGAGGGCGACCGGCCACACUGGGACUGAGACACGGCCCAGACUCCUACGGGAGGCAGCAGUGGGGAAUCUUGCGCAAUGGGCGAAAGCCUGACGCAGCGACGCCGCGUGAGGGAUGACGGCCUGU